AUUGAACGCUGGCGGCAGGCCUAACACAUGCAAGUCGAACGGUAACAGGAAGCAGCUUGCUGCUUUGCUGACGAGUGGCGGACGGGUGAGUAAUGUCUGGGAAACUGCCUGAUGGAGGGGGAUAACUACUGGAAACGGUAGCUAAUACCGCAUAACGUCGCAAGACCAAAGAGGGGGACCUUCGGGCCUCUUGCCAUCGGAUGUGCCCAGAUGGGAUUAGCUUGUUGGUGGGGUAACGGCUCACCAAGGCGACGAUCCCUAGCUGGUCUGAGAGGAUGACCAGCCACACUGGAACUGAGACACGGUCCAGACUCCUACGGGAGGCAGCAGUGGGGAAUAUUGCACAAUGGGCGCAAGCCUGAUGCAGCCAUGCCGCGUGUAUGAAGAAGGCCUUCGGGUUGUAAAGUACUUUCAGCGGGGAGGAAGGGAGUAAAGUUAAUACCUUUGCUCAUUGACGUUACCCGCAGAAGAAGCACCGGCUAACUCCGUG
rnacentral:rRNA from 1 species